rnacentral:piRNA from 1 species
UGAAUCGCAAUUUCAUAUUUGUCUUGUGGU